rnacentral:misc_RNA from 1 species
GUGAAUCAUCAAAUCUUUGAACGCAAAUUGCACUCCCUGGUAUUCCGGGGAGUAUGCCUGUUUGAGGGUCGUUAGAACAAAAAUCCAAGCGUCGCUCUUUUUUUUUAGGGGUAACGCGGCGGCAUUUAACCGUCUUUCCAAUGUUAAUUCAUUUUAAAGUGGCUUAAAAUUCAUCCAUCCGGUACGAUUAAAUCGUUUUUAAGAUCAAUUUUGAUUAAAAACACGCGAUGAACGUACCAUCUCAUGUAGUACGUUUGACCUGGGUCGUCAGGAUCA